GAUGAACGCUGGCGGCGUGCCUAAUACAUGCAAGUCGAGCGAACAGACGAGAGUGCUUGCACUCUCUGACGUUAGCGGCGGACGGGUGAGUAACACGUGGGUAACCUACCUAUAAGACUGGGAUAACUUCGGGAAACCGGAGCUAAUACCGGAUAAUAUUUAGCUUCGCAUGAAGCAAUAGUGAAAGACGGUUCUGCUGUCACUUAUAGAUGGACCCGCGGUGUAUUAGCUAGUUGGUGAGGUAACGGCUCACCAAGGCAACGAUACAUAGCCGACCUGAGAGGGUGAUCGGCCACACUGGAACUGAGACACGGCCCAGACUCCUACGGGAGGCAGCAGUAGGGAAUCUUCCGCAAUGGACGAAAGUCUGACGGAGCAAUGCCGCGUGAGUGAAGAAGGUUUUCGGAUCGUAAAACUCUGUUGUAAGGGAAGAACAAGUACGUUAGUAACUGAACGUACCUUGGCGGUACCUUACCAGAAAGCCACGGCUAACUACGUG
rnacentral:rRNA from 1 species